rnacentral:rRNA from 1 species
GACGAACGCUGGCGGCGUGCCUAAUACAUGCAAGUCGAGCGAAGUUUUUUGGUGCUUGCACUAGAAAAACUUAGCGGCGAACGGGUGAGUAACACGUAAAGAACCUGCCUCAUAGACUGGGACAACUAUUGGAAACGAUAGCUAAUACCGGAUAACAGUAUUUCUCGCAUGGGAGAUAUUUAAAAGUUGGUUAUGCUAACACUAUGAGAUGGCUUUGCGGUGCAUUAGCUAGUUGGUGGGGUAAAGGCCCACCAAGGCGACGAUGCAUAGCCGACCUGAGAGGGUGAUCGGCCACACUGGGACUGAGACACGGCCCAGACUCCUACGGGAGGCAGCAGUAGGGAAUCUUCCGCAAUGGGCGAAAGCCUGACGGAGCAACGCCGCGUGAGUGAAGAAGGAUUUCGGUUCGUAAAGCUCUGUUGUUAGGGAAGAAUGGAUAUGUAGUAACUAUACAUGUACGAGACG